AUACGUAGGGGGCGAGCGUUGUCCGGAUUUAUUGGGCGUAAAGGGUUCGCAGGCGGCCUUUUAAGUCAGAUGUGAAAUCCCAUGGCUUAACCAUGGUAAGCAUUUGAAACUGAAAGGCUUGAGUUAAGGAGAGGAAAGUGGAAUUCCUAGUGUAGCGGUGAAAUGCGUAGAUAUUAGGAGGAAUACCAGUGGCGAAGGCGACUUUCUGGACUUUAACUGACGCUGAGGAACGAAAGCGUGGGUAGCAAACAGGAUUAGAUACCCUGGUAGUCCACGCCGUAAACGAUGAGUGCUAGGUGUUGGGGGUCAAACCUCGGUGCCGGAGCUAACGCAUUAAGCACUCCGCCUGGGGAGUACGUACGCAAGUAUGAA
rnacentral:rRNA from 1 species